GACGAACGCUGGCGGCGUGCUUAACACAUGCAAGUCGAACGAAGUGGCGAACGGGUGAGUAACGCGUAAUCAACCUGCCCUUCAGAGGGGGACAACAGUUGGAAACGACUGCUAAUACCGCAUACUGAAGGAGGGGAUUGCGUCUGAUGAGCUAGUUGGGGGGGUAACGGCCCACCAAGGCGAUGAUCAGUAGCCGGUCUGAUAGGGUGAACGUCCACAUUGGGACUGGGACACGGCCCAGACUCCUACGGGAGGCAGCCGUGGGGAAUCUUCCGCCAUGGGCGAAAGGCUGACGGAGCAACGCCGCGUGAGAGAUGCAGGCCUUCGGGUGGUAAAGCUCUGUUAAUCGGGACGCGGUACCGGAAUAGAAAGCCACGGCUAACUACGUGCCAGCAGCCGCGGUAAUUC
rnacentral:rRNA from 1 species